rnacentral:rRNA from 1 species
AUUGAACGCUGGCGGCAGGCCUAACACAUGCAAGUCGAACGGUAACAGGAAACAGCUUGCUGUUUCGCUGACGAGUGGCGGACGGGCGAGUAAUGUCUGGGAAACUGCCUGAUGGAGGGGGAUAACUACUGGAAACGGUAGCUAAUACCGCAUAACGUCGCAAGACCAAAGAGGGGGACCCUCGGGCCUCUUGCCAUCGGAUGUGCCCAGAUGGGAUUAGCUUGUUGGUGGGGUAACGGCUCACCAAGGCGACGAUCCCUAGCUGGUCUGAGAGGAUGACCAGCCACACUGGAACUGAGACACGGUCCAGACUCCUACGGGAGGCAGCAGUGGGGAAUAUUGCACAAUGGGCGCAAGCCUGAUGCAGCCAUGCCGCGUGUAUGAAGAAGGCCUUCGGGUUGUAAAGUACUUUCAGCGGGGAGGAAGGGAGUAAAGUUAAUACCUUGGCUCAUUGACGUUACCCGCAGAAGAAGCACCGGCUAACUCCGUG